rnacentral:rRNA from 1 species
GACGUAGGGCGCGAGCGUUGUCCGGAAUUACUGGGCGUAAAGAGCUCGUAGGUGGUUUGUCGCGUUGUUCGUGAAAACUCACAACUCAAUUGUGGGCGUGCGGGCGAUACGGGCAGACUGGAGUACUGCAGGGGAGACUGGAAUUCCUGGUGUAGCGGUGGAAUGCGCAGAUAUCAGGAGGAACACCGGUGGCGAAGGCGGGUCUCUGGGCCGAUACUGACGCUGAGGAGCGAAAGCGUGGGGAGCGAACAGG